rnacentral:lncRNA from 1 species
AAAAGUAUAUGACGAACAUAAAUGAUAAGUCAUGAAAUGAAUGUCAUGACAUGCGUGUCAUCUAGGUCAUGACAAUGAACCAGCGAAAAACAAUAUCACUCAAAUACCACUGGAAUUGGUUAGGACGUGGGCACUAAGUGAAGGAAAGACUAAAGGGUGGUGGAAGAAAUCAUGGUCAUGAGCAUGAUUCAGCA